rnacentral:rRNA from 1 species
GACGUAGGGUGCAAGCGUUGUCCGGAUUUAUUGGGCGUAAAGAGCUCGUAGGUGGUUUGUCGCGUUGUUCGUGAAAACUCACAGCUCAACUGUGGGCGUGCGGGCGAUACGGGCAGACUGGAGUACUGCAGGGGAGACUGGAAUUCCUGGUGUAGCGGUGGAAUGCGCAGAUAUCAGGAGGAACACCGGUGGCGAAGGCGGGUCUCUGGGCAGUAACUGACGCUGAGGAGCGAAAGCGUGGGGAGCGAACAGG